AUAUGUCUUGAACUCCCGAAUGUAAGCAGUCCUGAUUCCGCCUUCCAGAUAACUGUGACUGCACUUGCAUUCCCCCAUCCUGAGCCAGAUAAUACAUAUGGACAGUGCCUGGCUUCCCACCAUCUGGGCUACAGUGCAUGGUAGGACAGUGUCUUAGUCAGGGUUUCUAUUCCUGCACAAAACUUCAUGACCAAGAAGUAAGUUGGGGAGGAAAGGAUUUAUUCAGCUUAUACUUCCACAUUGCUGUUCAUCACCAAAGGAAGUCAGGACUGGAACUCAAGCAGGUCAGGAACUUGAAGGCAGGUUAUGAUGUAGAUGCCAUGGAGGAGUGUUGUUUACUGGAUUGUAUCCCCCGGCUUGCUCAGCUUGCUUUCUUAUAGAACCCAGGACUAUCAGCCCAAGGAUGGCACCACCCAUAGUGGGCUGGGCCCUCUCCCCUUGAUCAUUAAUUGGGAAAAUGCCUUACAGCUGGGUCUCAUGGAGGCGUUUCCUCAAGGGGGGUUCCUUUCUCUGUGAUAACUCCAGUUUGGGUCAAGUUGACACACAAAACCAGCCAGUAUAGAGAGUGACCUUCUACCCUGGCCCUAGCAUUUUGGUAGAAUUUUGGCUAGGAUCCCAAGAUCUGCUAUGCCCAGAGCGUCCUUGUGGGGAAAUGACUACCUAAUUGCUGUGGCAGAAGGGCGUCAGAGCCACUCUGCAGCACCUUCAGUACCCAUCAGUGUGAGAGUGGAGACUCAUACGGAAGCAAUUUCCAUCUGAACUGCAGAUGUUUGCACAAAUUUCACCCAGUGGGGAAAGGCCAGCUGGGGGCUACAUAGUGAGACCUUAUCUCAAAUAAACAAGAAUGGGGUUUGGAGAGUUUGAGGGUUGAGACCUGCCUAAACUCCAGAUUAAGACAUACAUCAUAACCAAGUACUCAAAGUUUGUUAUGAAGUUAAUACAGAGUCCAGACCGUGGUAAGUGACAUGGUCCACCGUGUCACCCAACCAGAGCUUCCUGUUCUGGGAGCCAGACCUCAGGGCCUUUCUCCUGGUAAAGCUCACUUUUCCCUAGAAGAGGGCAUUGGAUUCCCUCAAACUGUAGUUAUAGACAGUUUCGAGCCACCACGUGGGUGAUAGGGAUCAAACCUGGGUCCACUGGAAGAGCAGCUAGUGCUUUUAACCAUUGAGCCAUCUCUCCAGCCCCAGUGUUCACUUAUUAAAGCUGGGCACACAAGAAAGUAUGUGUUAGCCAUUGAUUGACACACAGCAUAGAAUAAACAGGCAAAGAUGGCAACCACCCAAUAGGGGAAGCCUUGAAACUGACGCAUUGAAAUCAUUAAUCAUUCGUUUUAUUUUGUUCUUUUUUUAUUAUUAUUAUAUGUAAGUACACUGUAGCUGUCUUCAGACACUCCAGAAGAGGGAGUCAGAUCUCAUUACGGAUGGUUGUGAGCCACCAUGUGGUUGCUGGGAUUUGAACUUCGGACCUUCGGAAGAGCAGUUGGGUGCUCUUACCCACUGAGCCAUCUCACCAACCCCUAUUUUGUUCUUUUAAAAUAUGCUUUUUUGCAAAUGCUGUUCCUGCAUUCAUCCCUGUGUACCACAUCUGUGCCUGGUGCCUCAGAGGCCAGAAACAAGCUAUGGAUCCCUUGGAACUGGAGUUACAGAUGGCUGUGAACCACCAACCCCAAGUCCCUUGGAAGAGCAGCCAGUGCUCUUACCCACUGAACCAUCUCUCCAGCCCCUCAUUGGUUUAAUUUCUGUGUGUUCACUGAGCACAUACCUCAGUCAUUUGAUUCUGAAAAGUGGGACAGUGUUUAAGAUGUCUCGUGGGAAAUUCGGCUCAACCCUGGGUCUAGCAUAGCUCUCCCAGGCCGUUGUGUUAGGUCUGCUCUAGCAGAAUAGGAACCCACCCAGAGCCAUCAGCUUCUAGCUGACUCCUGGCUUUAGAGUUCAAGAAAAUUCGAUGUGUGCAGACUACCCUAAGAAGGCUCUCCCCUGGUGAUGCUCUCAGCUACUUAAAACUAUUUGGUCUCCAGGCCCAGUGCAACCUGGGGGUUUGAUUUGGUUUUGCUUCUACUGGCUUGCCUCCUGGACUGGUCCUAAUCCCUUGAAGGCAUUCACAACCGAAGCAGAAAGCCCUCCCCUUACCUCUCACACUUUACCUAUCACUGCCACCAAGCUGGACAGCAGUGGCCAGCCAUACCAGAGCCAUCUGGAUUGGGGCAUCAGAGAUCAUUGGGCUAAGGCUGUGCCUGACCAGUUUUCACGGAUGCUUCUUAAGGCAUUUUUCUGCUUCCCACACAAACUUAUUUUCUGAACUUUCCCGCAAUCUGCCUGGCUUCAGAGUUUUGCAUGUCACCCCAGUUACCCAGCUGUUGGGCCCGCCUCUCCUCUGGCCCCGCCCCAAUCCAUGUGGCACCGCCCGGAUGACAACACCCGCCCCCUACCAAUCCUGCGGCCAUGGUUGCGCUCAAGGGCAUCCCGAAGGUGCUGUCUCCUGAGCUGUUGUUCGCGCUUGCGCGGAUGGGGCAUGGAGACGAAAUUGGUGAGCACGAAAAGCUGGCAGCGCGGCCCUCUGACAGGGUCCUUGCUGAUGCGAACUUCCCUACCUCCUCCAUCUGCCAGUGCGGACCUGUGGAGAUCCGAGCAGACGGCCUGGACAUCCCACAGCUUCUGGAGGCUGUGCUGAGGCUCCUGCCCCUGGACACCUACGUGGAAAGCCCGGCUGCUGUCAUGGACCUGGUGCCCAGUGACAAGGAGAAGGGCCUGCAGACCCCGAUAUGGAAGCGUUAUGAAUCCCUUCUUCUCGAAGCUGACUGUAAAGCUCAGACAGAGAAGAGAUAUAAAAGAUACCCCUUGUCUCUGGAUCCUUGAAACUCCAGCAUCAGGAGAACCAGAAGAUUGGAGCCUAGAAGACCAGGGUUCCAUUGCUGCUGCCUCCUGGCUAUCUCCUGAUGAGGGACUCAAAUCAGGAGUCCACCUAGAGGACUUUCAGACAAGGUCCCUCCAACCAUGCCUUUUUGUCUUCUAGAAAACCCUGAUGAAGCUAGAGAGAUUUGAAUUUUAUGAACGUGCAAAAAAGGCAUUUGCUGUGGUUGCAACCGGGUGAGUGUGUCUGCUGCAUCUGGGUGACUUAUUCAGGUCCCUGGGAAAUGCCUCCACUCCUGCUUUGCCCAUGAAGGGAGAUGGCACUCUAUGGAAACAUCAUCCUCAAGAAGGGAACUCUUGACCUCGGACCCUCAUAGAGACCACCUUCCCUUGGCAGCAACCAGACCUGGACAUCAGCCUCGGGCUCAAGAAGAUGGCAGAUCUUGAGAGACUCUGCUGACCCUGACAAAUUCCCCCUUCCAUGACUUGUGAGAUUGAUCGGGGAGGGAGUCAUUGUCAAGCUUUAAUCUAAAGGUUUUGUAGUCAUGAA